rnacentral:rRNA from 1 species
ACGAACGCUGGCGGCGUGCUUAACACAUGCAAGUCGCACGGAAAGGCCCUGCUUUUGUGGGGUGCUCGAGUGGCGAACGGGUGAGUAACACGUGAGUAACCUGCCCUUGACUUUGGGAUAACUUCAGGAAACUGGGGCUAAUACCGGAUAGGAGCUCCUGCUGCAUGGUGGGGGUUGGAAAGUUUCGGCGGUUGGGGAUGGACUCGCGGCUUAUCAGCUUGUUGGUGGGGUAGUGGCUUACCAAGGCUUUGACGGGUAGCCGGCCUGAGAGGGUGACCGGCCACAUUGGGACUGAGAUACGGCCCAGACUCCUACGGGAGGCAGCAGUGGGGAAUAUUGCACAAUGGGCAGAAGCCUGAUGCAGCAACGCCGCGUGCGGGAUGACGGCCUUCGGGUUGUAAACCGCUUUCGCCUGUGACGAAGCGUGAGUGACGGUAAUGGGUAAAGAAGCACCGGCUAACUACGUG